CGGGUGAGCCGUGCUGGCAGCUGCUGCCUCCAGCCACGGUGGCCGCAGACUGGAGACCAAAGGCCGGGUCCGCCGCGUCCCUGCGGGUCACCUGGCAGGCUCAGCGGCUUGUCAGCAGGGUGGAUCGGACCUACUGAGGGAGCUGCGUGUUUGUGCAGUUACGACUGACCUCCGAAGGGAGGGUUCAGAGAGGCCAGGAAGGUCGGACCUUCCGGCCAAAGUGUGACUUGGCCACUGAAAGGCGAGGUGGACCAGCAGAGCAGGCCCAGGAUUGCACGCCAUUUCGUGUAUAGACCAUGUGGUCUCCAUCCAUUCAUCCAUUGGGUGCUCUCAAAAGUGUUUCAACUUUCCGCUUUGAAAAUCUCAAGGGAUGGAAACACUAAAAGAAUAACACCGUGAAGCAUCUUGACCGGCCUCCUCCACGCGUGGUGUUGUCUGCACAUCAGGGCGUCUGACCAGGAAGGCUGCGAUCAGUUUGUGCUUCGAUUAGCCAUGGGAAUUGGGAUCUCUUGGUGAGGUGGGGGUUUCGACACUUUUCAGAUGUCACUUACUGGAAAGAGUUUGUUACCACGAUUUGCUCCCUGGAGCAUCCAGGUGGCUGGAGAGGGUGUCUGGCUUCAGGAGGGCCCUUCUUAAAUCCUCCAGAAGAGAGCUGAGUGUCUGCCAGUUGCCCAGAACUUAAAA